rnacentral:tRNA from 1 species
GAGUGUUAGCUCAGCUGGGAGAGCAUCUGCCUUACAAGCAGAGGGUCGGGGGUUCGAACCCCUCACACUCC